rnacentral:rRNA from 1 species
UACGUAGGGGCCGAGCGUUGUCCGGAGUUAUUGGGCGUAAAGCGCGCGCAGGCGGCCUCGCGCGCCCGACGUGAAAGCCCCCGGCUUAACCGGGGAGGGUCGUUGGGGACGGCGGGGCUUGAGGGCGGGAGAGGGCGGUGGAAUUCCCGGUGUAGUGGUGAAAUGCGUAGAGAUCGGGAGGAACACCUGUGGCGAAGGCGGCCGUCUGGGCCGACCCCGACGCUGAGGCGCGAAGGCGUGGGGAGCGAACGGG